rnacentral:rRNA from 1 species
GUCGAGCGGUAGCACAGAGAGCUUGCUCUCGGGUGACGAGCGGCGGACGGGUGAGUUAUGUCUGGGAAACUGCCUGAUGGAGGGGGAUAACUACUGGAAACGGUAGCUAAUACCGCAUAACGUCGCAAGACCAAAGUGGGGGACCUUCGGGCCGCAUGCCAUCAGAUGUGCCCAGAUGGGAUUAGCUAGUAGGUGGGGUAACGGCGCACCUAGGCGACGAUCCCUAGCUGGUCUGAGAGGAUGACCAGCCACACUGGAACUGAGACACGGUCCAGACUCCUACGGGAG